UCCAGGGUAACCUAGUGGACAUGGCAUCUGCCCGGUAAGCGGAACACAGUGGGUUCGAUUCCCAUCCUUGGAC
rnacentral:tRNA from 1 species